UAUUUUAAAGAGAGUUUGAUCCUGGCUCAGGACGAACGCUGGCGGCGUGCCUAAUACAUGCAAGUCGAACGAACGGAGGAAGAGCUUGCUCUUCCAAAGUUAGUGGCGGACGGGUGAGUAACACGUGGGCAACCUGCCUGUAAGUUGGG
rnacentral:rRNA from 1 species